rnacentral:rRNA from 1 species
UACGUAGGCAGCGAGCGUUGUUCGGAAUUACUGGGCGUAAAGAGUGUGUAGGCGGUGCUCUAAGUUCGGUGUGAAAUCUCCUGGCUCAACUGGGAGGGUGCGCCGGAAACUGGAGUGCUUGAGCGUGGGAGAGGAAAGCGGAAUUCCUGGUGUAGCGGUGAAAUGCGCAGAUAUCAGGAGGAACACCGGUGGCGAAGGCGGCCUGCUGGGACAUGGCUGACGCUGAGGCGCGACAGCGUGGGGAGCAAACAGG